UACGGGAGGCAGCAGUGGGGAAUAUUGCACAAUGGGCGAAAGCCUGAUGCAGCUAUGCCGCGUGUAUGAAGAAGGCCUUAGGGUUGUAAAGUACUUUCAUCGGGGAGGAAAAAACAAAACUAAUAAUUUUAUUUCUUGACGUUACCCGAAAAAGAAGCACCGGCUAACUCCGUGCCAGCAGCCGCGGUAAUACGGAGGGUGCUAGCGUUAAUCAGAAUUACUGGGCGUAAAAAGCACGUAGGUGGUUUUUUUAAGUCAGAUGUGAAAUCCCUGGGCUUAACCUAGGAACUGCAUUUUGAAACUGAAAUACUAGAGUAUCGUAGAGGGAGGUAGAAUUCUAGGUGUAGCGGUGAAAUGCGUAGAUAUCUGGAGGAAUACCUGUGGCGAAAGCGGCCUCCUAAACGAAUACUGACACUGAGGUGCGAAAGCGUGGGGAGCAAACAGGGAUUAGAUACC
rnacentral:rRNA from 1 species